AUGAAGGACAACAAUAUACCUGGACUGUUAUGCCUCAGGGAGCUCAGAACUCUCCCACACAGUUUGCUCAUGCCAUGUCUCUAGUUUUGGAUCCCUGGCAGAAAUCUCAUCUGGAUGUUAUUCUACUUCAAUAUGUUGAUGACCUCCUUCUCUGUGCUCCUAAUUUGCUUAUUGCAGAGCGUGACUCAGAAGAUCUCCUAUGUUUCCUCGCUGCUGCAGGUUGCAAGGGCUCAAAAUCAAAGCUACAAUGGUGCCGGCCCUCUGUGGUCUUCUUGGGACAUUGCCUUUCCCAUGGCACCAAACAUCUAACCUCACAACGGGUGCAAGCUAUCCUGCAACUCCCAUUACCUGCAACUCAUCACUCUCUUCAUGCUUUCUUGGGACUCAUCACAUACUGCAGGUCCUGGAUACCUGAAGCAUCCAAACUCAUGCAGCCACUCUAUGAUGCCCUCAGGAGUGAGCCCUUUCAUCUCACUGAAGAAACUAUUAACUGUUUCCAUACUCUGAAAAGAGCCAUUGCUUCUGCACCUGCUUUGGGCCUCCCCAACUACCAACUCUCUUUCAAUUUGUUUGUCUCUGAGAAAUCAGGACAUGCUUCCGGAGUCCUUACUCAGAAACAUGGGUACAGACAACGGCCUAUUGGCUAUUUUUCCUGCAUGCUUGACCCUGUUGCAAGGGGCAGCCCCUCUUGCCUCCGUGCUGUGUUUGCCGCCAGUGCCCUCUUGGACAAGACUAAUGACUUUGUUCUUGGCCAUCACCUCACAGUGUUGGCCCCUCAUGACAUUACUGCUAUCCUGCAACAAGUUCAACCCAAGCACCUUUCCUCCCAACGCCACCUCCGCCUGCAAAUCUCCUUGCUUUUACCUGACAAUGUGAAACUCCAGAGAUGCCUUACCCUGAAUCCAGCCACUCUUCUGCCACUUCCCAAGGGGGGAAUUGUGUACCACUGGUAUAGCCUGGAUAUCAACCCAGAAGUUCUAGCAGAUCUGCAACUACCUGCACUUGCACCUCCACAUGAUGAACAAUCAGUGGCCCUACUCCACUGUACUUUGUGGGUUAGGGAUGAACCAGGCCCUGAUAUGAACUAUGAGGCAGAAGUAUUCCAACUCAAAGAAAUCCAAAUUACCCUGACUGACUUGUUUUGGGACCUCACAGGUACCAUGCUCAUCCUAGUCCACCUCCCAGAGAGUGUGACACAUCUCUAUCACCAUUGGGAAACAUCUAUCCCACACAUAUCUCUCACCAGACCUCCCGACAUCUCGUGGAAAGACCUAGGCCGAUGGCCAAGACCUGGAGUCAAAUGAACCAAGAACAACUGACUUCUAUGGGGACCAGCAAAAAGACUAUUAACUACUGUACAGCAGGGUACCCUAGGUACCACACAGACGUCUGUGAGGACCCACUCAUCAUAGACUGUGACCCUGAUAUUUCCCCACUUAGCUGAUCAGGCCGCUAAGGAAGCAGCACGACAAGGAUGGGAAGUGGACAGAAGAGUGGCCACAGAUGCAGUACCCAUCUACACUAUGCAAACACUGCCUACGGAUCUUAGGUUUCUGAAGGAACAACGAGCUGCUGCUACUCCCCAGGAGAAACAAAGUUGGAAGAACAAAGGAGCUGUACUCCGUGAUGAUGUUUACACUAUCAAUCUCAAGUUUUGCCUACCCAGAAAUAUGUAUCCAGCGGUGGUCCAAUGGGCCCAUGGGCCAGCCCACCUGUCAAAACAUCUGAUGAACUCAUUGAUUGACAAGUAUUUUGAAGCACCAGGCAUCACUACCUUAACACAGAAUUACUGUAAAUCUUGUACUAUAUGUGCUAAAUGCAAUCCUGGAAAGAUUAUAAAGACUGCACCUAAUCAUCUAGCUAAACCACAAUACCCCUUCCAGAGGAUCCAGAUUGAUCACAUUCAGAUGCCAAAGAGUGGACGUUAUGAAUAUGCAUUGGUCAUAGUGGACAUGUUUUCAGGAUGGCCAGAGGCCUUCCCAGUGACUAAUCUCACCGCGAGGACUACAGCCAAGUAUCUCUUGACAGAAAUUGUUUGCCGCUAUGGAGUUCCAGAAGUGAUUGAAAGUGACCAAGGGACCUCCUUCACUGCCUCACUAACACGGGAAGUCUGGCCAGCACUGGGGGUGACCCUUGCAUUCCACACACCAUAUCACCCACAGAGUAGUGGUAAGGUAGAGCGCAUGAAUGGCACUUUGAAAGCCAGAAUGCUUAAAAUGUCACAAGAAACUAACAUGCCCUGGCCCGAGAGUCUCCCAUUAGCGUUGUUUAGUGUAAGGUACACUCCUAGGGGAAAAUAUAGCCUAUCACCUUAUGAGAUUUUGUUUGGUACAGCACCCAGGUUAGGUUGUUACUUUCCCCAACAGCUUCAGAUUCAGUCAGAUGCUAUGGUAGACUAUGUGACUGCCCUCUCACAUGCCUUGACCAAAAUACAUGCCCAAGUGUUUUCUUCUAUUCCAGAUCCUGAGUCAAAUACAGGUACACACAAGCUGCUUCCUGGUGAUUGGGUUAUGGUCAAGAAGUUUCUCAGGAAACACACCCUAGAACCAAGAUUUGAUGGCCCAUAUCAAGUGCUCCUGAUUACAGCAACGUCAGUUAAACUAGCCGGGAAGAGUUCUUGGAUACACGCCUCACAUUACAAAAAAGUGCCUGCUCCAGAAGAGGCUAAUCUUGCUGAAAUAUGAAUUUAUUAUGUGUCUUGUGUUUUCUUAUGCUGCUACACUUUGCCUGGGCCCAACAAGUGGCCAUAACCAAAGAUAAUCAUGUUUACACUUUUCUGGUACAAUUCUUCUAACACAGAUGUAGCUACAUACACCUUUGAUUACUGUGACAUAGUUGUUUGCACCUUUUCCACAAACACAAUAUGCAGCCAUAUACAAAGACAUACCUAGCAAAAAGGCUCACCUCACCAGACUGGGUAGGAACCACUCACAUGACUAUUAACACGUUAAAACCACAUAUUAAGACUCUACAUGACAUGGUAGCUAUAGCCAAUCCCACCUUUGAAGACACUAUGACAGUAGAGACUGGGUUUUCAGACACUAAUUUGUGGCUAGAAUGGAUGAGAUAUAACGCCAACUCACAUAAUAAGACUAACUGUUAUGUAUGUGGAGGAGCCAGGCCCCAUCUGGGCACAGUACCUCUAAGCCUACCUCCUGAAGUAGAAUUAUGUGUUCUGAGUCUUUAUGCACAAUCCACCACCAACUCCUCAACAUGUGAAUCAUGGAAAAGGGUUCACCCAAUCACUCAUGGAUAUGUCAAGCCACCUGAUGGAGUCACCGUGUAUCCAGGUAAUUACACAUGUUAUGCUAUACCUAAGAAUACUGGUGUGUAUCUGGGCAGAUUCCCAUCUGGAUAUUGCUCAACCUACCAUAGCCCACCUGUGUCACUGCUAAUAAAUCAUGCAAAGACCAUUGGAGAUAUCUAUUGGUUAUGUGGUGACAGACAAUUGAGGUCCCAAUUAGCUGAGCAAUGGUGGGGGGAGUGUGCCCUAACCAAAGUCAUAAUGCCUAUCCACAUUAUUCCAGAUGGUAGUCAUAACACGUUAAACCUUACACAUGUACACUCUAGAACCAAACGAGGGGCUCCUAUCAGAGGGAGCUUUGACCCCCAUGUGUAUAUUGAUGCCAUAGGUGUGCCAAGGGGGGUGCCUAAAGAAUACAAAGCAAGAGAUGAAGUGGCUGCAGGAUUUGAAUCCCUAAUUCCAAUGAUAAUUUCUAACAAAAAUGUCAAUUGGAUUAACUACAUUUACUAUAAUCAACAGCGCUUUGUCAACUAUACUAGGGAUGCCCUACAGGGCCUGGCAGAGUAAUUACAAGCCACUACCCAAAUGACAUUUCAGAACAGAAUGGCCCUAGAUAUGAUUUUAGCUGAGAAAGGGGGUGUAUGUAAAAUCCUCCCUGAGACCAUGACAUGUCGCACAUACAUUCCAGACAACACUGGGCCCAAUGGUAAGGUGACUAUGGCCAUAGAGAAGCUAGAUAGUCUUGCAGACGAGCUAAAGAAAAAUUCAGGAGUCACUGACACUUGGGACAGAUGGUUUGGAUGGAUGAAUGGUUGGCAAAGGACCCUCUUCCAGGUAGGGACAGCUGUUCUUAUAAUGAUCAUCAUUUUCUUAUUUCUAACCUGUUGCGUACUCCCUUGCAUACAGAAGUACUUACAAAAAGCAGUAGAUAAGACUAUAGUUGACGUGACCCCUACUUUCCUACAUCAGGACGUCACAGACCUCGAAGAUGACACACCACAUACACCCCUUCAAGCACAUCAGUUCAAACAGACAACUGCUUUCCUGUAGGGAUAGUAUAGGGAAAGCAUCUGUCUUGGCAGGCGAGUCUCACGUGUGGAGAUGUAGUGGA